GCGGACGUGGCGGAAUGGCAGACGCGCUGGCUUCAGGAGCCAGUGAGAGCAAUCUUAUGGAGGUUCGACUCCUCUCGUCCGCA
rnacentral:tRNA from 2 species